GGCAGAUGGGUGGCAGUGGCUCAGUGCUCUGGGGGAGCUUCCGGCUGUCCUUUUUGGGAGAGGGGCUGGGGCCCGCUUCGCCCAGGCCAGCCAGAGGCGGGAGGGCAGGGCUAACAGGAGGAGUCCCCUGGGCCCAGCAAGCGCACCAGACGUCAAGCCCUGAGGCACAGCGCAGACACACCCAGUCCCGCCGGGGCUCCCCUAGCUAAAGAGGUGGCAGCCGUACACCCUUCCGGGGGGCGGGGCCUGGCUUCUCGAGGGGACGGCUGGAACGCGCUUCAGCUGUCCCGGGCUCAGUGACCUUGGGCCAAACUCCCCUUCCCUCGGCCUCGGCGUUCUAGGCUAAAGGGGGCUGCGGCCGGGUGGGGGAACGGCGCACUGCCCGUGAGGAGUGCGCGCGCCAGUGGCUGCACAGCGCCCGGCACAGCGCCCGGCACAGCGCCCGGGCCCAGUGACCAAGGGCCCCAGCAGCCCUGCCGCGGUGGGCCAGAGAAAGACCUCAGGCCAGGAUCCUGGAGGACGGACGGAGGGGCGCACCUCGGCCCGCAACCAGGGGCUCGGCUCACCUGGGUCCCCCAGACGCCGGGCAGGAGCGAGGAGCAGAAGAGCCUCGAAGCAGCCGCGGAGAGGAAGAACAAGCUGGACGUCGCACCUACUGUGCCGAGUGGUCGGUCCUCCUUGCUCGGGCCAGGCACCUCUGCUGGCUAGACGACCGCGAGCCAAGGGCUCCCCCUCUGUAAAAUGGGGUUGACCAUAUACUUUCCUCCCAUGGCGAGGGGGGGCUUCCACGAAGGGCUGCACCUGUUCACCCUGGGGACCACCCUGGGGACUCGGGGACCCUGAGAGAGACCCUCCUACAGCUCACUAGCAGCCUGCCAAGCCCAGCAGGUGGAGGGUUCCCAGGCAGAGGCCUCUGCUAGGCAGGGUGAGGGAGGGGAGGGGAGAGGGCAAAAGGAAGGUGCCCUAGGAAAGCUGAGAGUGGAACGAGAUGGAAUGGCAGACCAAGGGAGAAGUGGACAACCGUGCUCAGAGACCUUGGGGUUUGCUCAAGGUCACAGCACAGCUUGAAGUUGGAAACCCAGGUCCGCCUGGCCCCUGGGCACAGGCUGUGGAGCU